UGAAAAACAGAGCAGAAGAGACGAGAGAUGGGGAAGCUGAUACGUGAAGAGGAACAAAGAGGGAGAAGACCAAUCAAGAAUUUGGCUAAGAUUGAAGUAGCGGUUUAAGCGAUCGGUGAGGAUGACUCGUAGAGUUUAUCCGGUUAUGUGGAGUCGUGUCGGUCAUGCUCUGAUCUUGUAACACUGGGGGUCGAUAGUCUUAGAGAUACUCGAUAUACGUUGUUGCCAUUAUUGGUUAUGGAUUAUGUAUUGUUGAUUUUGUUUGGAUAUGUUUCUUAACAUUGUUGAAAUGAGUUUCCGCUGUGCUAAACACAUGUUUUGAUAUUUGGUUUAAUAAAGCAUGACAAACGACUUGGAGUUUUA